ACACCUUCUCGACCUAAUGGCUAAUAUCAUGUGCAGUAUCUGUUCUAAUCAAUGUGACAACUGAUUUCCUCGAAUUUCGAGGUUCUUUUUACGUUCAUUUUUGCAGAGGUUGUGCACGCGCGUAGCUUGCUGUGUCAGCGCGACUGGUCUCUGCGAGAUUGCGCUCUCCCCGUGCGAGGCCAAUCACCU
rnacentral:snRNA from 1 species